GAUGAAGAACGCAGCGAAAUGCGAUAAGUAAUGUGAAUUGCAGAAUUCAGUGAAUCAUCGAAUCUUUGAACGCACAUUGCGCCCCCUGGUAUUCCGGGGGGCAUGCCUGUCCGAGCGUCAUUACAACCCUCAAGCUCAGCUUGGUGUUGGGCCCCGCCGCCCCGGCGGGCCCUAAAGUCAGUGGCGGUGCCGUCCGGCUCCGAGCGUAGUAAUUCUUCUCGCUCCAGUGCCCGGUGGUAGCCUGCCAGAACCCCAACUCUCGUGGUUGACCUCGGAUCAGGUAGGGAUACCCGCUGAACUUAAGCAUAUCAAUAAGCGGAGGA
rnacentral:misc_RNA from 1 species